UACAGAGGGUGCAAGCGUUAAUCGGAGUUACUGGGCGUAAAGGGCGCGUAGGCGGUUAAUUAAGAUAGAUGUGAAAUCCCUGGGCUUAACCUAGGAACUGCAUCUGUGACUGGAUAACUGGAGUACUGUAGAGGGUAGUGGAAUUUCCGGUGUAGCGGUGAAAUGCGUAGAUAUCGGAAGGAACACCAGUGGCGAAGGCGGCUACCUGGACAGAUACUGACGCUGAGGCGCGAGAGCGUGGGGAGCAAACAGG
rnacentral:rRNA from 1 species